CCCGAUCAAUCGCGCGCGUUUUACAUCCGUUCGCGGUCGUAAGUGAUACAGUUUCUCCAAUCAUUUUACUUCGUUGCCACUCCAUUACGUCGUUUGCGUGCCCACGUAGACCGAAGAAUGAGGAAAACGAUGGAGAUGGAACAGAAGCGGCGGACCGCAGGUAUAAAGGUUAUACUUGUUCGUUGUCGAGACUGUUGGGUCAGUGGAUUGAUUAAGGUGUCGGAUUCUCCACUUCAAUCGAAGCUACGGGUAGACGAGUUUUAGAACGAUCCUAAGUAGGCCGAUGACUCUUCUUAAAUGACACAAGGAAGAUGUUUGUUAUUUCCAUUCGCAGAGACUGAGAGGCGAAAUAAGAUAACAGCGAGCAGGAGUGGCAGAAAAGGAAGCGCAAGGCCCGGACACAAGGCUGCGCGAGCCGGGCGAGCGAGGAAGAGACGAAGCUAUUCUACGAUCGGCUCCGGGACGCUUUCGAGGCCCGAUUCGAACCGGCGGCUAUC